GAAGGCGGCCCGCGGGCUCCGCAGCCUCCGCAGCCUCCGCAGCCUCCGCAGCCGUGGCGCCCGCCCCCCUCCGGGGAGGCCUUCCCCCCUUCGCCCUCCGGCCCUUCGAUGGGGGGCACUUUGCGCGGACGCCCUCCGCUCGCCGCCGCCCCUCCCGCCUCGGAGACUCUCUUCCUUCCUUCCCCUUUUUCCUUACGCAAUAUACAGAAAUGCGCGAGGCGGUGGUUGGUGUUCAUUUCUUCCCGGUGGUUGUGUGCAUGCGGUGGGAUUACUGCCCAGGACCACACCGUGGCCUAGCUGCUGGUCUGUCAGCGAGAGAGGGGGAAAGCAGAGACCCCCGUCCACAACUUGGACCUGGUCUCCCGCCCCUCUCCGGCGGAGUGGAGAUCCUAUUCAGAGGGGCCGGUCUCUCUAAAUAUGCCCCAGGUGAGUUUUGGGGGAAUAGUAUUGGUGGAAACAGUGUCCUGGAGGACCUUGGGUUCCGGCCUGGGGUGGAGGAGGUGUAGGACAGAGGAUUGGGUGAGGGGAGGACAAACCCAGAGCUGGGAAUCUGGGAUCCGUGCCCCUGUGGCUUCUAGCAGGGCCCUUUACCUUUUCGAUCUCGGGUUAAAACACGUAGGUAGCUGGACCUAGUCCCCCAGGCCGCUCCCAUCAGUCCUGGUUCCAUGGGUGUUUCACAAGCCUCCUAACUUUGGGGCGGCUAUAUCCGGGUGGUGCAGGCUGUGUGUGCCCGGGCCGCCGGCAGGAAGAAGGCCCGGCCAUCCUGGCUAGCACAGUCCCAACUCCGGUGGGCCCUGGCCGGGGCCUCCGGCCUAGGGUGGGGCUGUGCUGCAACAGCCUCCACUCCCGUAGUGGCAGGGAGGGUGGCUCUCUUCAUGGGUGAUUUUGGUUCUCGUGCAUGCUUGGGGCUCCCCCAGGGGGUCGUUCGGGUGUGGGUGCAUUAUGAAGGAUAGGGAGCUAGCUAGCUCUUACCCUAGGUACCCGCGGAGGCUGUUUUCCUAUGACAGAUUUUCCCUGCCGGGAAUGGGGAGCUGCCCCGGACCCUGUGCCUGCCCCCUAGGAGCUCCUGGGAUCCUUGUCUUGCUCAGACACAAACGGAAGUGUUGCGGCCAUCUGGCAACAGGGGAUGAGGAUCCGGUGUUGGGGGCUGCGAGCUGGUUCUGGGCCGCACAAAGAGGAGUUGUAAUGGUCAAAUAGUCUAGUGUGAUUCUGUUCAAGAGCUUCUUCCCCCUCUUUCAUCUUCCCCCAAAUAAAAACAAAUGAACAAACA
rnacentral:lncRNA from 1 species